GGGUUGUGAGGUUAAGCGACUAAGCGUACACGGUGGAUGCCCUGGCAGUCAGAGGCGAUGAAGGACGUGCUAAUCUGCGAUAAGCGCCGGCGAGGUGAUAUGAACCUUUGACCCGGCGAUUUCCGAAUGGGGAAACCCAGUGUGUUCCGACACACUAUCGUUAAGUGAAUACAUAGCUUAACGAAGCGAACCGGGGGAACUGAAACAUCUAAGUACCCCGAGGAAAAGAAAUCAACCGAGAUUCCCCCAGUAGCGGCGAGCGAACGGGGAGCAGCCCAGAGUCUGAAUCAGCUUGUGUGUUAGUGGAAGCGUCUGGAAAGUCGCACGGUACAGGGUGAUAGUCCCGUACACGAAAGCACACAUGCUGUGAACUCGAAGAGUAGGGCGGGACACGUGGUAUCCUGUCUGAAUAUGGGGGGACCAUCCUCCAAGGCUAAAUACUCCUGACUGACCGAUAGUGAACCAGUACCGUGAGGGAAAGGCGAAAAGAACCCCGGCGAGGGGAGUGAAAAAGAACCUGAAACCGUGUACGUACAAGCAGUGGGAGCCUACUUGUUAGGUGACUGCGUACCUUUUGUAUAAUGGGUCAGCGACUUAUAUUCUGUAGCAAGGUUAACCGUAUAGGGGAGCCGAAGGGAAACCGAGUCUUAACUGGGCGUUAAGUUGCAGGGUAUAGACCCGAAACCCGGUGAUCUAGCCAUGGGCAGGUUGAAGGUUGGGUAACACUAACUGGAGGACCGAACCGACUAAUGUUGAAAAAUUAGCGGAUGACUUGUGGCUGGGGGUGAAAGGCCAAUCAAACCGGGAGAUAGCUGGUUCUCCCCGAAAGCUAUUUAGGUAGCGCCUCGUGAACUCAUCUUCGGGGGUAGAGCACUGUUUCGGCUAGGGGGCCAUCCCGGCUUACCAACCCGAUGCAAACUACGAAUACCGAAGAAUGUUAUCACGGGAGACACACGGCGGGUGCUAACGUCCGUCGUGAAGAGGGAAACAACCCAGACCGCCAGCUAAGGUCCCAAAGUCAUGGUUAAGUGGGAAACGAUGUGGGAAGGCACAGACAGCCAGGAUGUUGGCUUAGAAGCAGCCAUCAUUUAAAGAAAGCGUAAUAGCUCACUGGUCGAGUCGGCCUGCGCGGAAGAUGUAACGGGGCUAAACCAUGCACCGAAGCUGCGGCAGCGACGCUUAUGCGUUGUUGGGUAGGGGAGCGUUCUGUAAGCCGUUGAAGGUGUCCUGUGAGGGGUGCUGGAGGUAUCAGAAGUGCGAAUGCUGACAUAAGUAACGAUAAUGCGGGUGAAAAGCCCGCACGCCGGAAGACCAAGGGUUCCUGUCCAACGUUAAUCGGGGCAGGGUGAGUCGACCCCUAAGGCGAGGCCGAAAGGCGUAGUCGAUGGGAAACAGGUUAAUAUUCCUGUACUUGGUGUUACUGCGAAGGGGGGACGGAGAAGGCUAUGUUAGCCGGGCGACGGUUGUCCCGGUUUAAGCAUGUAGGCGGGA
rnacentral:rRNA from 1 species